AUCAUAGCCAAUCUAUCCUAGUCAUCAACUCCCAAGCCAUGUCCUAUCCUUAUUGCUACCAAAUUAAUCUUUAUUUCUCCAAUAGUAUCACUACGAUUUCUUUUUAUAGAAAUAUCUUUAGCUCAAUACUUCUUCUAAAAAAGUUAUACAACUUUGAUCCAACAAUACUAACCUAGCGAAACACCAUUGUCACUUUUCUUUCAAUCAACUUGAAGUCUUCUAAAAUUGAUACUUUCUCGUCUUCCUAAUUAGCAACUUUUACUAUUGAUGUGGAUCUA
rnacentral:lncRNA from 1 species